UACGUAGGGAGCAAGGCGUUGUCCGGAAUUAUUGGGUCGUAAAGCGCGCGCAGGCGGUCCUUUAAGUCUGAUGUGAAAGCCCUCGGCUCAACCGAGGAGGGUCAUUGGAAACUGGAGGACUUGAGUGCAGAAGAGGAAAGUGGAAUUCCAAGUGUAGCGGUGAAAUGCGUAGAGAUUUGGAGGAACACCAGUGGCGAAGGCGACUUCUGGUCUGUAACUGACGCUGAGGCGCGAAAGCGUGGGGAGCAAACAGG
rnacentral:rRNA from 1 species